UCCCUGGUGGUCCAACGGUUGGGAUUUGGCACUCUCACUGCCACGGCCCAGGUUCAAUCCCUGGUUGGGGAA